GCUAUGACUGCGCGCGGGACUCCGAGCCGCUUCUUGGCCAGUGUUCUCCACAACGGACUGGGUCGCUACGUGCAGCAGCUGCAGCGUCUGAGCUUCAGUGUCAGCCGUGACGGCCCCUCGUCUCGCGGCGCCAGGGAGUUCGUGGAACGGGAGGUGAUCGACUUCGCCCGACGGAACCCAGGGGUCGUAAUAUAUGUGAACUCGCGUCCGUGCUGCGUGCCCAGAAUAGUGGCGGAAUACCUUAACGGGGCUGUGCGCGAGGAGAGCAUCCACUGCAAGUCGGUCGAGGAGAUCUCGACGCUGGUGCAGAAGCUGGCCAACCAGUCGGGCUUGGAUGUGAUCCGCAUCCGCAAGCCCUUCCACACCGACAACCCUAGCAUCCAGGGCCAGUGGCACCCCUUUACCAACAAAUCGACCACGUUCCACGGGCGACGCCCCCGAGAGGUCCAGGAUCCUGCCUCAGCCCAGCUGCAAGCACAGUGAAGAGUUGCCCACCAACUCCAACCCCAGGUAUCAGCUCAGUCAUCUGAACUUCCAUGGGGAAAUACCCAUUACCCUCCUGAACCCUUGUCAUUCGCCACUUGGCUGAAAGCUCCAGAGCUGGACCUCCCCACAGUGGAUCCUCUCUCAUCCUCAUUGACCUCUGCUCCAGCGCCUAUGCUGUCCCCAGUUCCCUGCCUCCCCAUGGUCCCUGCACUGACCACUGUGUGCUCAGCGUGAAGACUGCAUAGAAGUGUGUACGGCUUGAGGUAUCAGCAUCCAGACUGCAGACCCCACGCAGCGUCUCAUACAGUGGAAUAUGGCAGAUGAGACGGGCUUUCAGGAAGGAUGUCCACUUUUUCUGCAGGAUCUUCUUCCCUCCCAGGUCUCCCUGGGGAGGUAGAGGCAUGGGAUAAGGGACCAGGGUCAGAGAUCCAGCCUCCAUACCCAUGCCCCGACGUCAGCCCUCUCCACCUUGCAGACGCGAGCCACACGGGCCACACGGUGGCUGCUGCGGCUCUGAGGGAAGCUGCCAGAGCCCUCCUCGGUGGCACGCUCCGUGAAGAAGUAAUAAACCUUGUCAUCGUCA